AUUGAACGCUGGCGGCAGGCCUAACACAUGCAAGUCGAGCGGAACGGAGGACGGGUGAGUAAUGACUAGGAAUCUGCCUGGUAGUGAGGGAACACAUAAGGAACCGGACGCUACAACCGCAUACUAUCAGAUAAGCCUAGGUCGGAUUAGCGAGUUGGUGGGGUAAAGGCCUACCAAGGCGACGAUCCGUAACUGGUCUGAGAGGAUGAUCAGUCACACUGGAACUGAGACACGGUCCAGACUCCUACGGGAGGCAGCAGUGGGGAAUAUUGGACAAUGGGCGAAAGCCUGAUCCAGCCAUGCCGCGUGUGUGAAGAAGGUCUUCGGAUUGUAAAGCACUUUAAGUUGGGAGGCGUUACCAACAGAAUAAGCACCGGCUAACUUCGUGCCAGCAGCCGCGGUAAUUC
rnacentral:rRNA from 1 species